GGGGAUUUAGCUCAGUGGUAGAGCCCUUGCCUAGCAAGCACAAGGCCCUGGGUUCGUUCCCCAGCUCUG
rnacentral:tRNA from 1 species